rnacentral:rRNA from 1 species
CGCGUAGGCGGUCUACCCAGUUGGGUGUGAAAGCCCUCGGCUCAACCGAGGAACUGCAUUCAAUACUAGCAGACUUGAGAAUGGUAGGGGUGUGUGGAACUUCAGGUGGAGCGGUGAAAUGCGUAGAUAUCUGAAGGAACACCUGUGGCGAAAGCGGCACACUGGGCCAUUACUGACGCUGAGGCGCGAAAGCCAGGGUAGCGAACG